AUUGAACGCUGGCGGCAUGCCUUACACAUGCAAGUCGAACGGCAGCACGGGGGCAACCCUGGUGGCGAGUGGCGAACGGGGGAGUAAUGCAUCGGAACGCGCCCAGUAGUGGGGGAAAACCCGUCGAAAGAUUGGUGAAUACCGCAUACGACCUCUGGGUGAAAGCGGGGUAUCGUAAUGCCUCGCGCUAUCGGCGAGGCCGAUGUCUGAUGAGCUAGUUGGGGAGGUAGAAGCACACCAAGGCGACGAUCAGUAGCUGGUCUGAGAGGACGACCAGCCACACUGGGACUGAGACACGUCCCAGACUCCUACGGGAGGCAGCAGUGGGGAAUUUUGGACAAUGGGCGCAAGCCUGAUCCAGCCAUGCCGCGUGCGGGAAGAAGGCCUUCGGGUUGUAAACCGCUUUUGGCAGGAACGAAACGGCGACCUCUAAUACGGGUCGUUAAUGACGGUACCUGCAGAAUAAGCACCGGCUAACUACGUGCCAGCCGCCGCCGUAAAAC
rnacentral:rRNA from 1 species